GGCGGUAGCUUAAUCGGUAAAGCUGCGGACUCCAAAUCCGUAAGAUGUCGGUUCGACCCCGACCCGUCCUGCCA
rnacentral:tRNA from 1 species